UACGUAGGGCGCAAGCGUUGUCCGGAAUUAUUGGGCGUAAAGAGCUCGUAGGCGGCUUGUCACGUCGGGUGUGAAAGCCCGGGGCUUAACCCCGGGUCUGCAUUCGAUACGGGCAGGCUAGAGUGUGGCAGGGGAGAUCGGAAUUCCUGGUGUAGCGGUGAAAUGCGCAGAUAUCGGGAGGAACACCAGUGGCGAAGGCGACUACCUGGCCUGUUCUUGACGCUGAGGCGCGAAAGCUAGGGGAGCAAACGGG
rnacentral:rRNA from 1 species